rnacentral:rRNA from 1 species
CCUACGGGAGGCUGCAGUGAGGAAUAUUGGUCAAUGGGCGCAAGCCUGAACCAGCCAAGUCGCGUGAGGGAAGACGGCCCUACGGGUUGUAAACCUCUUUUGCCGGGGAGCAAGCCUGAGCACGUGUGCCCCGGCGGAUAGUACCCGUAGAAAAAGCCUCGGCUAACUCCGUGCCAGCAGCCGCGGUAAUCCGGAGGAUGCGAGCGUUACCCGGAUUUAUGGGGUUUAAAGGGUGCUCAGGCGGGCUGUUAAGCCGGCGGUAAAAAUUCAGGGCUCAACCCUGUCGAGCCGUGGGAACUGGCAGUCUGGAGUGGGCGAGAAGUAGGCGGAAUGCGUGGUGUAGCGGUGAAAUGCAUAGAUAUCACGCAGAACGCCGAUUGCGAAGGCAGCAUACCGGAGCGCAACUGACGCUGAGGCACGAAAGCGUGGGGAUCGAACAGGAUUAGAUACCCGGGUAGUC